UUUCCUCAUUAUUGGACUAACUCAUACUGAGCUCUCCUCCUUCCCCAGGCUGUGACCUUGACCCACGUUCUGCUGAUGGCCAGAUGUUCCUGAGAAACCCACUAGUGCCUUCUGACUGCUGUAACACGACCGCCCACAUCACAGGACCUUGGCUUGAAGCACAGAGGUCCCAGCACUUGAAGGCCACCAUCACCUCUCUCCAUCUCCAGCCCUCCAGGCUCACACAUGCCGAUGUUUGGGUUGAUUUCAGCUUUGUCUUUCUGAUAGCUGUGCUGUGACUGUUUUGCCACCACUACGCCUCCCCGUCCUCCUCCUGUCUGACAGGCAAAAAUAAGAAGAAGAAAGAAAAAAAAAGCAGCUUAAACAUAUUUUGUGGUUAAACCACUUUUUUUUUUCAUGUCGACCGGUUCCCACUGGGCUGAAAAGCAAUAAAAAGUCAGGAAGAAGUAUGGGCUCCCCUCCC
rnacentral:lncRNA from 1 species